UUGACGCUAGACGCUGAAAAAUAUGGCAUUCGAUGUAGUGAAUGGUUUUAAUGCUUAAAAAAACACUUUAUACUCCAUUAUAGUAUUUAAACAACUUGUUUUCGUGAAUAUGGAAGUGAAUAUAAUCUUUACUCAGUAACACAAAUGUUGACAAAAACUCUUACGCAAAAACAAAGAUUCGUCGCAAGAAAGCUGCAUCUUGGGAAAACCUCGCUAGUAGUAACAGCACAUCCAUUACAUUUAUUUAUUGACUUUAUUCAAGUCGCACAUUCAUUUGUCAAUCUGUCUCUUAUUAAAUGUUUUGUUAGACAUCCUGUCGCGAAUGCUGACGUUCUGUUUUUUGUUCAACGAAGCUGUGUUGAGUAAAUAAAUGGACGAAAGUUUCGGAAAGAAAAAAUGUUCAUUCACUUUAAAUCAUGAAUGCUUUCUCUCACAAACGGAAG